rnacentral:rRNA from 1 species
UGGGGAAUUUUGGACAAUGGGCGAAAGCCUGAUCCAGCAAUGCCGCGUGUGUGAAGAAGGCCUUCGGGUUGUAAAGCACUUUUGUCCGGAAAGAAAUCCUUGGCUCUAAUACAGUCGGGGGAUGACGGUACCGGAAGAAUAAGCACCGGCUAACUACGUGCCAGCAGCCGCGGUAAUACGUAGGGUGCAAGCGUUAAUCGGAAUUACUGGGCGUAAAGCGUGCGCAGGCGGUUUGCUAAGACCGAUGUGAAAUCCCCGGGCUCAACCUGGGAACUGCAUUGGUGACUGGCAGGCUAGAGUAUGGCAGAGGGGGGUAGAAUUCCACGUGUAGCAGUGAAAUGCGUAGAAAUGUGGAGGAAUACCGAUGGCGAAGGCAGCCCCCUGGGCCAAAUACUGACGCUCAUGCACGAAAGCGUGGGGAGCAAACAGGAUUAGAUACCCUGGUAGUCCACGCCCUAAACGAUGUCAACUAGUUGUUGGGGAUUCAUUUCCUUAGUAACGUAGCUAACGCGUGAAGUUGACCGCCUGGGGAGUACGGUCGCAAGAUUAAAACUCAAAUGAAUUGACGGGGUCAUAGCUGUUUCCU